CUACAAGAAGAUGGCCCAAUACCUGGUC
rnacentral:piRNA from 1 species